GGGGGAUAGAGGGACUUGAACCAA
rnacentral:tRNA from 1 species